CGAGUCUUAAUAGGGCGUAUAGUUGCUGGGUAUAGACCCGAAACCGGGUGAUCUAUCCAUGAGCAGGUUGAAGGUUGGGUAACACUAACUGGAGGACCGAACCCACUGUCGUUGAAAAGCCAGGGGAUGACUUGUGGAUAGGGGUGAAAGGCUAAUCAAACUCGGUGAUAGCUGGUUCUCCCCGAAAGCUAUUUAGGUAGCGCCUCGGACGAAUACCAUUGGGGGUAGAGCACUGUUUCGGCUAGGGGGUCAUCCCGACUUACCAAACCGAUGCAAACUCCGAAUACCAAUGAGUACUAUCCGGGAGACAGACUGCGGGUGCUAACGUCCGUAGUCAAGAGGAAAACAAUCCAGACCGCCAGCUAAGGCCCCAAAAUCAUAGUUAAGUGGGAAACGAUGUGGGAAGGCAUAGACAGCUAGGAGGUUGGCUUAGAAGCAGCCACCCUUUAAAGAAAGCGUAAUAGCUCACUAGUCGAGUCGGCCUGCGCGGAAGAUGUAACGGGGCUAAAACUAUGUGCCGAAGCUGCGGAUUUGACAUUAGUCAAGUGGUAGGGGAGCGUUCUGUAAGCCGAAGAAGGUGGAUUGAGAAGUCUGCUGGAGGUAUCAGAAGUGCGAAUGCUGACGUGAGUAACGACAAAAGGUGUGAAAAACCCGUUCGCUGAAAGACCAAGGGUUCCAGUCCAACGUUAAUCGGGGCUGGGUGAGUCGACCCCUAAGGCGAGGCCGAGAGGCGUAGUCGAUGGGAAAUUGGUUAAUAUUCCAAUACUUCAGUGUAAUGCGAUGAGAGGACGGAGAAGGUUAAGUCAGCCUGGCGUUGGUUGUCCAGGUGAAAGGAAGUAGGCAUGCAUCUUAGGCAAAUCCGGGGUGCUCUAUGCUGAGAUCUGAUAGCAAGCUGUACUUGUACAGUGAAGUGGCUGAUACCCUGCUUCCAGGAAAAGUCUCUAAGCUUCAGUUACACUGGAAUCGUACCCGAAACCGACACAGGUGGUCAGGUCGAGUAGACCAAAGCGCUUGAGAGAACUCUGCUGAAGGAACUAGGCAAAAUGGUACCGUAACUUCGGGAGAAGGUACGCUGUUGAUGGUGAUAGGACUCGCUCCUUGAGCUGUCGACAGCCUCAGAAACCAGGCCGCUGCAACUGUUUAUUAAAAACAUAGCACUCUGCAAACACGAAAGUGGACGUAUAGGGUGUGAUGCCUGCCCGGUGCUGGAAGGUUAAUUGAUGGGGUUAGCGUAAGCGAAGCUCUUGAUCGAAGCCCCAGUAAACGGCGGCCGUAACUAUAACGGUCCUAAGGUAGCGAAAUUCCUUGUCGGGUAAGUUCCGACCUGCACGAAUGGCAUAAUGAUGGCGGCGCUGUCUCCAGCAGAGGCUCAGUGAAAUCGAAUUCGCCGUGAAGAUGCGGUGUACCCGCGGCUAGACGGAAAGACCCCGUGAACCUUUACUGCAGCUUGACAUUGAACUUUGACCUUACUUGUGUAGGAUAGGUGGGAGGCUUUGAAAAUUGGACGCCAGUUCGAGUGGAGCCGUCCUUGAAAUACCACCCUGGUAAUGUUGAGGUUCUAACUCUGUCCCGUUAUCCGGGACGAGGACCAUGUCUGGUGGGUAGUUUGACUGGGGCGGUCUCCUCCUAAAGAGUAACGGAGGAGUACGAAGGUGCGCUCAGCGUGGUCGGAAAUCACGCGUAGAGUAUAAAGGCAAAAGCGCGCUUAACUGCGAGACCCACAAGUCGAGCAGGUACGAAAGUAGGUCUUAGUGAUCCGGUGGUUCUGUAUGGAAGGGCCAUCGCUCAACGGAUAAAAGGUACUCUGGGGAUAACAGGCUGAUACCGCCCAAGAGUUCAUAUCGACGGCGGUGUUUGGCACCUCGAUGUCGGCUCAUCUCAUCCUGGGGCUGAAGCAGGUCCCAAGGGUAUGGCUGUUCGCCAUUUAAAGAGGUACGCGAGCUGGGUUUAGAACGUCGUGAGACAGUUCGGUCCCUAUCUACCGUGGGCGCUGGAAAUUUGAGAGGAUCUGCUCCUAGUACGAGAGGACCAGAGUGGACGAACCUCUGGUGUACCGGUUGUGACGCCAGUCGCAUCGCCGGGUAGCUAUGUUCGGAAGGGAUAACCGCUGAAAGCAUCUAAGCGGGAAGCCUACCUCAAGAUAAGAUUUCCCCGAGGCUUUAUGCCUCCUAAAGAGCCGUUGAAGACUACGACGUUGAUAGGUUGGAUGUGGAAGCAUAGCGAUAUGUGAAGCUGACCAAUACUAAUUGCUCGUGAGGCUUGACUAU
rnacentral:rRNA from 1 species